UUUUUUAAAUGUUUUUUAAUUUUUUUUAUAACUUGUCUAGUAAAAAUUAAAAGAUUCCCUACCAUAACAAAUGUUGCAUAGUUUUAUAAGUAGAUGCAGGAUUUCUAGAGCAACCCAAUUAGGCUAUUUUAACUUUUGUUGUUCGAGCAGUAAAUUCUGUAACAUUGAUUAUACGUGUGGUUUACUUGUCUUAAAUAAUUUAUUAUGAGAAUGUUCUGUGCCCAUAGUGCAUCUUACUUUGAAAUUGGUUGAUGUCCAUUGUUCCUUUGAUGAUAUAGUUACAGGGAAUUCAUUUGGACCCAAGUAUAUAUCUAAUGGAUUAUGAGAAUAAUAAGUCAACAUCUGCCAUGGAAAAUAAAGUUUAAAAGGCAAAUUUUGCACCCAUUGCAACAGCUGACACUGAUUCACUAUUGGAAAACAAUUCUUUAAACAUUCCUGGAAGCCAAGGUGAAGCUAGCAAAUGUACAAAGCAUGGCAGUUAAGAAAAAAGCAAUAUUAUCCAAUAAGAAGAAAUAAACGUGUCUCAGAAUAUUGAAAAAGUUAAGCCUUUUCAUCUUUUAGGGUGUUUAUGCCAUCUUUAUGCAUUAUCUUUUGAGCUGCUCAUUCUCAUUGGAUUCUAUUUUUCUUAUGCUACGUAUCAAAUGUAAAUGCACACUAAUAUGAAGGCUGGUGGACAAAAACUUAUCUGUGGUAGACAUUAGUGUUCGUUCAGAGGUAAAUAACUAUCCUCAUUACUGUUUUCUUGUGAAGAAAUGACCUUUCAGUAUUGCUGCAUGUUUUGUUCUUUUUUUCCACAUUUAUAUUUUCUUUAAUUGACUAUGAAAUUAAUUGACUAUGAAAUUGAAAGUAUUUUUAAAAUCAACUUUUUUCCACAUUUUACUUUAAAUUUUGUGAGAUUCUCCUCCAAGAUGAAUAUGAGUAUGCGUGGUUGGUCUGGUGUGUUCAUUGUAGUUGGUUUUCGUUACUUGGAUGCUAUCUUGCUUAGGCUUAUGUUUUGUUCUAUUUGGGUGGUUUAUGUUUUUUGGCUUAGUUCUUAAAAUUAGUGAGGUUGAAUUUUAAAAGGAUUGUAUUGCUGCAACAAAUGUUGAAUAAUUUUUAUAAGUUAGAGGAUAAAUAUGAGCAUAAGUAGUUGGUCAGGUGUGUUCAUUUUAGUUGAUUUCCCUUAUUUGGGUGCUAUCUUGCUUGGACUUUCUUUUAUUUGGGCGGUUUUCAUGUUUUGGCUUGGUUUUUAAAGGUAUGGCUCCUUUAUCAGCCCAAAAAAAAAAUACACAGGUAUGCACCUUUGUGUCUGUUUCAUCUCGUUUGAUGGGUUGUAGUUAGAGAUUUCCAUUAUCAAAGCACUUUUAGUGUUUGGCAACAGUAAGAAGUGGUUUAGCUGAGGGGAGCUGAGAAUGUAAUUAUUAUUUGGUUUUUAUUUCAUAUUUGUUAUUAUUAUUAAUAUUAUUUAGUUUUUCUUAUUCAUGUAUACUUUCUCUAUUGAUAUUUCAAAAUAUAGGUUCAGUGCUUUGAACUUACUUUGAUGUUUUAAUCCAAGCUGUAGCGUUAAGUUAAUAACCAUAGUAGAUGGUAAAUGGGACAGCUAGACAACUAACUUAGUUCCUCACGUCUUCAACUUAUUAUCAAAUUUAGUGGUUCUUCUUUGUUGUAAUGUUUUGUUGCUUGCCCCUUUGAUAUGGUUGAUUUACUUAAAUCCUGGAAUAUUGAGUGGUAAUGAGAAUAAGAAUGAAUCUAUGGUAAUAAGUCUUUUUAACCUUGAAAUGGGAAAUGUGGUGAAACACUUAGACCAAUAUAUGUUUGGGUUUGUGAAUUAUUUAAGUUUCACUUCAUUUUAAGCUUCUUUAAGGCAAUUUUGGUGUAUACCCUGCAUGCCAUGAUUAGCUAUAGAUUCAUGUCAAACAAUUGGAAUUGGAUCAAGCAUGUGGAAAGUGAUCUAGAAUAGCAUUUGUGGGUUUAAUGCGAAAAUUGAAUUUAUCUUUUAUGAAAAGGCAAUUUUUCAAAUUAGGAUAUUCAUUCCUUUCAGAAAAAAACUUAAAAAAUAAAAAUAAAAAUUCUUUAUCUAUUUAUUUUUUAAUUGUCUAUUUCUUCCAUUGCUUCAUUAUUAUAAACUCUCAAUUAUUUUUGAAAAUUUUUAAAUUGAUUUUGGAUAUAUUACUUUUAUUUUUCUCUCUUUCUGAAUCAGUCAUACUAUUAUUGUAAUUUUUUUCUUCUGAUAGAUUUGGUUAUUAUCCAGUGUAUUGAGCAAGGAAUUUCAUUAGUGUCCAAUGGCAAUGUUAGGCAGCUUGGAGGGAUUUAACUUUACAUGCACAGAUAAACUCAAGGCAAAGAUUAUUGGUUAAUGGCCUGUGUUAGAAAUAUGGUACAAACUUAGCCACCUUCGAGUUGAUAUUCAAGGUGCUGAAACAUUGAGGAGGAUACUUGAGAACUUUGCAGUUUUUAUCUUUUUGAUGGCAGAGAGUGAAGCUAAGCUUUUUGAGAGGUUGAUUGACCAGAAGACAUAGACUAAAGAAGCUUUUCUUGUGAGGAUUGCAACCGCUAGAGAGGAAGUGAAGCUUGUUAGAAACUUUGAUUAUGUUGUUGUAAAUGUUGAGGGCAAGUUGGAGAAUGCUGUUAGAUUGGUGGAGUGUAUUAUUGAUGUAGAGAAAGCUAAAGUCUGGCAAAGGAGUGCAGUGAUAUAGUUAUUUGGAAGGUAAUUGAGAAUUUUUUUUUUUUUUUUUUUGGUUGAGAAUUUUUUUGUUCCAUUUAGAAUUUGUUAGAAUUUUGAUUGGAAUUUAUUUUUAGGAAAUGUGGGAAUAUUGAUUGUAGUUCUAUCAUUUAGAUAGUAUAACAUAUUUUUUGGAUUUAAAAUUACUAAUAAUUGAAGAUAUUUAUUUAUUUA